UUUUACGUUCUUCUUUAAUUUUCGUAAAUGCACAAAAUUUGUUUGUUCACCAGCAAUUGUGACCUAAUUGCACCUGUGACUAUGCUUUUGUACAUUUACUCACACGUACAAUAAAUAAAAAAAAAUUAAUUUCGACAAGUAUGUAUGUACAUAUGUAUGUCUGCAUAGACUAUUUUACGUUCAUAAAUUCGCCUGAUACCCAGACACGAAGCGGUUCUCGAGUCGCUGGACCGCAGCUGUUUCCACCAACACAGACGCAAAUAAAAAAUCCUUUUGUACGUAUUUAUGUAUGUAUGCACGUCAAAUGACAAAAAAAAUAUAUAUAACAAAGAUUAAUAAUAAAAGACCGCUACACCUUUUGACAACGUCGAAAUCUGUCGCUUAAGCUGACCAACACAAUAAUAAAAACAAGAAUAAAAUAAAAUAAAAAGAUUAUAAUUCUAAAGAAACAAAAAGUAGUCAAAAAAAAAACGGUUCUGAUUUUUCACUCUCCGUUGACAUUGUAGAAUCAUUUUUCUUUUCAUUUGCAUGUUUGUAUGUAUGUUUGUACAUUUGUACGUGCUAAGCUUUUAGGCAGCCAAGUGUUGUAGCUUCGUUCGCCAUGCACUUGUUGCCAGCUUCUGUUCCGGCAUUUGAAAAGCUAACAAAAACAGAGCAAAAAACAACAAACAAUAUAAACAAUAAAUAUUGUUCAAAACAAAUUAUUCAUUUGCGAAAAAAUAAAAUACACACAGACACUUGUACAAUCAUCAAGCACAUUCUCUCUCAUCAUCAGCUUGUGAGUGUUGGCUUUAAGCGACCAAGCACAACAAACGUUCCGCGGGUGAGGCGAUCUUACCGCUUGGAGCGAACACUGUUGCGGUGUGUUCAGUGUGUGUUCUCCGGCGCUCUUUACCAAAAUUGUGUGAAGUUCGCGCUCACAGUUGGGCGAGAGAUUGGCAAUUCAUAACCGGUAACUCACGCCAGCUGCUGAAGCAGCUCUCUUUGGGCGGCCUUUUGUGCUCCAAUAUAAAAUAUAUUUUCUUGUGUGUGUACAUAUGUAUGUAUGUGCGCUUUUAAAUAAUGCUCGUAGUUGCCUAGUUAUCGGUUCCGCAUUGCGAGCAUUGUACCUUCUACUUAUGCCGUCUAUUUAGUUGGGAUUUUAGUUAACGCAGAUAUUUCGAGACACCACAACGACCGUAGAACGCGACGGCAGUGCGCGCUUCAAACGAAGAUUUUUUUUUAUUAAAUAAAACUUAAGUUUCAAACUAAAAAGCAUAUAUGUACAUAUGUGUAUAUAUGUAUUUAUAUAUUAAAGAUACAGCAAGGCCUUGACAGUGAAAUUGAUCUCAAAAGAACAGUACAGAAAACGAAGAUCUACAGAAAAAUCUAACACAGACCAAAAGUAUAUCAACAAAACAAG